AUUUUACUCUGGUGAAAUCAUAAGAAAUAAUGACGAUGAUAUGAGGCUGCUGAAAAAGAUUGUGGAUAUUGUAUUGAAAGUAAUAAAGAAUGUGCCACUAGUGGUUGAAAAACAUCCAGUAAGUCUAGAAGAAAUAGUGAAAGACUUUGAGGUGAAAACACUCCAAUCUGUUGAGAGUGAUCAGGGUGUACAAAUUCUGGGGAUUUGGGGCAUGGGUGGUUCUGGCAAAACCACUCUUGCGGAAGAGUUAUAUAACAAAAAAUCUUCUUUGAUGAAGUGGUCUAGUUUUGUGUUUGAUGUUCGAGAUGUUGCAAUUAAAGGUUUCUUGUAUGAAAAGUUAAAAAAAAUUCUCAAAGAUCUUGGUUUUCAAGAUGUAGUAUUUGAUAAUAUUGAGGAAGGUAUGCAAACUCUUUCCAGGUAUUUGAGAUCUAUUAAGGUAUUAAUUGUUGUUGAUGAUGUGGAUCAUGUGGAUCAUAGAUGCUCUGCUGCCUGCAAAAGACAAUCUUGAAAGGGGUAGUCUUAUUAUUGUUACCAUAAGGGAAUAUGAUGUUCUUAAAUUUUUGGGCAUCACUUCUAUAUAUAAGAUGAAAGCACUUGAUCCAUUUCAUGCUGAGAAACUAUUUUGUUGGCAUGCUUUUAUCCAACCCUUUCCUCGAGAUGGUUUUGAAAAGCUUGUUAAAGAAUUCUUAGAGGCUUGUUGUGGAUUACCUCUAUCUCUCAAAGUAUUUGGAGCACAACUCUAUGGGGAGUUCCGCAAGGAAUGUUGGGAGUAUUUGUUGCAUAAGACCAAGAGAAUGUUAUCUAAUGAUAUCAAAGAGAAGCUCAGACUAAGUUAUGAUGUCCUUGAUGAUGAAGAAAAAGAAGCUUUCCUUGAUAUUGCUUGUUUCUUUAUUGGAGAAAGGAAUACCCUAGUAAUUGAAGUAUGGAAUGGAUCUGGAUGGUGUGGUCUCUAUAGUUGGGAAAGGCUUUUGAAUAAAUGUUUGGUUGAACUCGACAAUUACAAUCGCAUAAUGAUGCAUGAUCACUUAAGAGAUUUGGGAAGAGAAAUUGCAGAACAACAUUCACCCUACCGAAUUUGGUUAUUCUAGCAGAUUAUUAAUGCUAACAAACAGAUAGAGGCCCCCGUGCAGUUAAGAGAGUUAGUUAUUUUCAAUUGCCAUAAUUUUCAAAGAUUUCCAAACUUUAUAGGGUGUCUCAAGGAGUUGAGAAAGAUAGUAGUUGGAGGAGGAAGCAAUAGUAUUAAGAGUUUGCCAGAAGAAUUUUGCUAUCUGCAAUCAUUGCAGCACUUGGAAUUAAUGUUCUCUAAUAGGCUCGAAUCACUACCUAGCAAUUUCGGCAAUUUGACAAAUCUGCGGCAUCUAAAUUUGUAUGGAUGUGGCAAGCUAAGAAUGUUGCCGAUUUCUUUUAAGAAGCUGAUGCUCUUGCAAAAUCUCAAUUUAGAGGGGUGUGGAAAGCUAAUAAUUAAGCCAGAGGAUUUCCAAAACAUCAAAAUGCUCGAGUUUUUGAGUCUUUCUGGGUGUGAGCAAUUGAAAGAGUUGCCUCGCCAUAUCACAAAUCAGGCCUCUUUGAGAGAGAUCUAUUUAAAUGGUUUGAGGCAGUUGAGGGAGCUACCAAUUAAUGUAGGCCAACUAAGCAGACUGCAAAAGUUGACUAUUGGGCUAUUGGGAGUGAAUUGUUGACAAGUGUGCCUAAAUCUUAUGGAGAUUUGUCCUCCUUGACUACUCUUCACAUUAGUAAUUGUCAUAAGUUGGAAUGUUUGCCGACUUUUCUUGGAAAUUUGUCUAUUUUGACUGAUUUUCAAAUUAGUAGGUGUUUCAAGUUGAAAUAUUUACCAACUUCUCUUGGAAAUUUAUCUAUCUUGACCAACUUUAAAAUUAGUCAAUGCCACAAGUUAAAAUUCUUGCCGACCUUUCUUGGAAAUUUGUCUGCCUUAACUAAUCUUGAAAUUACUCAUUUUUUUUAGCUGAAAUGUUUGCUGACCUCUCUUGAAAAUUUGUCUGCCUUGACUAAUCUUCAAAUCAGUGGGUGUGAGAAGCUGAAAUGUUUGCCAAUUUCUUUUGUAAAUUUAUCUUCUUUAAAUAGUUUUGAAAUUAUUGUUUCCCAAACUAAAAUUUUUACAGAUUUCUAUGAAAAAUAUGUCUUCCUUGACUAAUCUUCAAAUUAGUCAGUGUCCUCAAUUGAAAUAUUUACCAAUCUCUCUUACAAAAUUGUCUGCCUUAACUAAUCUAACUAAUCUUCGAAUCAAUGCAUGUAACAAGCUGAAAUGUUUGCUAGCCUCUUUUGAAGAUUUAUCUGCCCUGACUAGGCUUGAAAUUAGUGAGUGUGACCUCUCUUAGGAAAUUUAUCUGACUUAACUAAUCUUCGAAUUGAUAAAUGUAACAAGCUGAAAGGUUUGCCGACCUCUCUUGAAAAUUUGUCUGCGUUGACUAAUCUUGAAAUUAGUCAGUGUCCCAAGGUGAAAUUUCUACCGUUCUCUUUGGGCUAUCUUAAAUGCUUAGAGGAUUUAACAAUAUCCCAUUGCCCAAUCAGCCAAUUAGAUUUUGGGGUAAUUUCAGAAGACCGUUAUACUCGCCUCCAGAGCCUUCAUCUUCACUUCAAUAAUCACUUAAAUGAGAUAGAACUGCCGAGGACAGUCCAGAGAAUAUUUUUGACACACUGUGAAAUGCUGAGGAACAUAAGGGUUUUUGAUCAAUUGCUAAACCUUGUAUGGCUGGUUAUAGAGUCCUGUCCAGAGUUGGAAGAGCUUCCUGACUUUACACAUUCAACUUCUCUCAGAUAUUUUCAACUAUUACAUUACCAUCGAGUUCAGGAAAUCGAAGGUUUAGAAUAUUGGAGAGAACUGGAAAGCUUGAGCAUAGGCACCUGCUGGGAGGUGCUUGGUAUACAAAGUUUGAAGGACAAGGAGAAAUUGUGGACACUGGAUAUCUUCAGAGCAAACAAGGGAUCAGCUAGUGAACGCUGCAUUCAAACGUUACAGGUAAGAAUAGUUUCUCGUAGUAAAUAUUUUAAUUGUCUUCAUCUAGUAUUGCAUUGACUGAAUGUUGUGGAGUUUUUUUGCAGAAAUGGCCGGAAGACAUAAUAGUAUGUACGCGGGCGUUCCCUGACGCGUCCUCACGUCUAAAAUCGUUGGUUUUUCCGAGUCUCUUUGGCAUUGACUCCAUCUAUAACAAGAAAAUUAAUACCAGUCCAAAAGUGGUGCAGAAUUGUUCCUCCAUUGGUGAUGCCAUUAUGCUCUGUUUUGUUAUAAAUUGUGUUUCUUCAGAGCUGACAUUAUUGUUAGUGCCGAGUGAUGGGGAAGUAAUAUCUGAAAUGAAGAUAGAGAAGGGUAGAUGGGCAUGGGUUGUAUUUACACAGCGUUCCACAUGUCUGAGUGCAGAGAGUUUCUCGAUAGAAGAGGGGUUCUCAUUGCAGGGGUGCAAAGGGCAGGACAAAGUAGAGAGAGGUCUUCUUGGGAGAGGGGAAGGGCAAAGGUUAGUGGAGGCAUUUCACAUCUUUAUAAAGAAUUUGAGUAUAUAGCAUGAGUGAUUUUAUCAUGAUA